UUCACAUUUCUUCUUCACAAAGAAAUAUGAGAAUAUAUACACUCACUGAUACAGUAAAGAAAAAAAAAGGAGGGUCAAUAAUUUCCAGGGGGUAUCACUCACGAAUUUGGCUUCCCUUCAAAAGAAAAACAAUGAGAAUACAAUACACGGAACACGCACACACCUUAAUCCAUUAGCGCGCACACACCCAUAUAUUCUGAGUCAAAAUUUCAAAAGAGAAAAAUUGAGAGAUUUGAGCGAAAGAGAGAUCGAGAGUUUCGUGAGAGAGAUAGAGAUCGAAAAAGAGGGGGGGUUUAUUCCGGCGACUAGAUCCCGCCGAAGCUCCGACAACGACCCCAAAACUUGGCAAAGUCCCGUGACAAAAAUAGUCUGCUUUCCGUCUAUGAUUUCGGCUAAUUUCAAACGAAAAAUCACUAUUUGUGGCAUUCCUUGUCAUUCACUUAGUGUUAGGUUUUUGUUUCUGUCGAAAACGCUUGGUUUUGGGUCUAGUACACUCGGUUUUUGACAUCAAAAUUAUUCCUUCGAGGUUUUUCUAUUUUGGAUUCAUAGUUCUAUUCACUUCAAUCAAUACGUUGAGAGCAGUAGCGGGUUUCGAUUUGUGAUACUGAGUUGGAUUUGAGUUUAUGGUUGAGAUUUGAGUCAAGGUUUUUUGGCAUGGAUUCUGUCCUUUCAUUGAAGUACUAUUGAAUUUCGAAAGCUUCAAUCGAGGUCCAUUUCUCUAUCUCAUCCUCUAUUCUCGUCUUGAAUUUUAAUUAUUAUUAUCUUGAAUUUAUUUACUUUCAUGGGUGUGAAUGAUUCGUGUGCUUGAUAUGUUCAAAUAUUUAUUGUACAUAUGUAUUUGGUGUUGGUUUCGAUUUUUGAAAAGUCGAAUUGAUAAUUGAAUGAACUUAGAUAUGAAUAAUUGAAUGUUAAAUUGUUGAAAUUGGUUAUUCGGGGUGAGAAUUGAAAAUUGAUAAAAAGCAAAUGCUAGUUAUUUUUUUAUUCUUGAUGUGUUGAGACAGAUUAGGUGGAAAAGGUUCGGGUAGGCAAUUUUAGGAGUGAUGUAUUUGUUGAAUACGUUGAAUGUUUAAACGUGUGUGUUGAAUGGCUUGGUUUUAUGGUUUUUGGAUUCAGUGUAUCAUUUGGCCGGGGAAUGCCCCGACGUAUUUGUGUCUAUUCAUCGGGAAAUGCCCUGAAGUAUUUUGUACCCGGAGGACGUUCGUGAUCAAGGCCCAAGGCGUCAGGCUGGAGCUUAGUCUAGAACUAGCAUAGAAUAGGAUUUAUAUUUUUCGCAAUUUUUCUAUUUUGGACUGUAUAAUUGGACUGAACAUUAUUAUUUUGGUUUUGGAUUGUUGUUUGAUGUUUGUUUAUGUGCAUUGUGUGCUUUAUACAUUUUUGGUGUCAAAUUAGCCAAUAUGCUCCACCAAGCGACCGUGGUCAAACCACGGGAUUGAGGGGUGCCUAACACCUUUUCCUCGGUCAACAGAAUUUCUUAAUCGAAAUCUCUGUUUGCGGAUCAGUUUUAGAGUCAAAACCAUUUCGAAAAGGAUCUUUCAAUGGUGACUUGGCACACCGGAUUAUGCCAAGUGGCGACUCUGAAUAAAAAUUGUAAAUAGUCCUUUUUUAAACAAAAAUCUUUAUUUUGUCACUUCUAAUAAUAAAAAACCCUUUCGAACUUAAAACGAAUCAUUUGGAGUACGAAAAAUGGGUGUGAUAUCUCAGGAGACUAUGCUGGAGAAUUUUCAGAAUUCGAGCUUAUUUUGGAGUCUUAUCGACUUUGUUUGGCAUUAUGAGUGUAUAAACAUUGUUUGUGAUUAUUGUUUGUGUUAUUGUUAUCACUGUUGUGCGUUUCCGUGCUCUUUGUUUACAAUUUUUCUUUAUGUGUUACCGCUUUAUAUCUGGCAUCAUGUGCAUAAUUCGAGUCAUUCUUUCUACAACAAGUCCGUAGUACACGUGUGUACACGAUCUAUAGUUGAGUCACUCUUAUUUUAGGGGGGAGCCGUUGGGUUGUAUGGAGUAGGUGGCCAGCUAAAGCAAGCCGCUUUGACCAUACGCUCCCCCGAAUAGCCUUGUUAGUGAACCUCAAUGUAGGUCAGCCUUUAGGUCAUACUUAUGUGCAUCAUAUUGAAGACCUAGCGGGGCCCACUUGGCCCUUUGUAGAAGACUCGCCUCUAAAGGUUCCCUACGUGCUAAAUGUUGCAUCUUUGAGGUUAAUGUGGUCAUUUGAUAGACUGAUUUGGAAAAAAUAUUUGUCAGAAGUAAAGUGUGUAGGUAGUGAAAAGUCAAAAAAAAAAAAAAAGAGGAAAAAGAAAGGGUGAGCCAAAAAAGUAUCUUUUGUAGUUUGUUUAGAGUUCUUUAUGGCUUUCGUUCUUCACAAUUUAAAAAUCCAAAAAGAUUUUUUUUUCACCUUUUUUGCACUUAUUUCUCGAAAAAAAUAAUAAAAAAUAUCAAAAAGAUUUUUCUUUGUUUUCUUUAGCAGGCAUUCACAAUUCAAAAACCUCAAAAAGAUUUUUUAUGAUAAGUAGUUUUUUAUAAAAGAAAAUGCAAAAGAUGGUAGAAAUUUUAUACAUUCCAAAUAACAAAAAGAUUUUUCUUUCAAUGUUGUUGGUAUCUAUUUUAUUUGAAGUGUCUAAUUAAAAAACCCCAAAAAGAUUUUAUUUGUUUGUUUUGAUCAUAUCUCUCAUGUCGUAGUUCGGUCUGUUCGUUAUUCCUUAAUUGUCCAAUCUGGAUGAACUAUGCACCCUUGAUUCUUCUCUUUCAGGAUGUGAGAUACAUAGGCAACUUAUUGUGGGUUCGGAGAUCUUAUUUCAAAAAUCCAAAAAAUAUUUUAUUCACUCUUCGUUUAGAGUAGUUGUUUCAUAUACAUCUUCAAGAGAAAACUACAAAAAGAUUUUCCUUUAAUAGCCUCAAGUUUAUUUACGUAUGAAUGCAAAAUUGAAAAUUCAAAAGAUUUUUCUUUGGUAAUCAUAGGUUUCAUUUUGUAUAGGGAUUUAAACCUAAAAAUGCAAGACAGAUUUACGUCAAUUCUAGCUUUGACACUUUGUUUCACGAAAAGAAAAGAGUUUGAUUGGCUAUUUUGUCAAGACUUCACGAACUACGCACACUUGAUUCUCCUCUCUUGAGAGUGAGAUACGUAGGCACCCUUCUUGGGUUCGGUGAUCUUUUAAAAAAAAUAGUAGGAAAAAGAGGUUUUGAAAAAGUGUUAAACUCUAACACAUUUGUUGUUUUUUUGUUGAGCCAGUUUAAGGUGGUAGGUUUGUGGCAUUCUGGUUAGUCCUCCACAUCUCACCAAAUCCAAAGGGUUAGAUGUGUCUAACAAGAAUAUAGAGAAUGACAUCAUGGAUCAAACAAAGAAUCAGGAAAAUGAGAGUUUGAAGCAAGAGAUUAGGAGGCUAAGACAACAAAUGACAGAAAUGCAUCAAGCUUGGGCCAGUGGGUUGCCUCCUCCUCCAUUUUUCUUUAUUGAUCCUAUAAAUACCUCGAGUUUUCCACCAAAAUCUCAAAGUCAGGUUUCUACUGUUGUUGAUGCACCGCAACAUGACUCAGAAUUCAUUCCAAGCCAAAAGCAUCUCAAUACUUCCACCACUUUUCCUCUAGCUCCUCAGCAUAAGCCUGCUACAUUCACAACUCCACAUGUCGUCUAUUAUCUUGUUGGUCAAUCCUCUACUGGGACUUCCACACUGGCUCGCCCAAUGGUUGUGCGUCCCCAUGCUGCUAGUGAACCUAUGUUCAAUAUCUUGGUGAUCAUUGUUAUAAUCCUAAGUCUGCUUUUAAGUUAAUUGGACCAUCAAAAUUUCUUAACAAGAAGUCCAGUGUACCAGAAGAGUCGAAGAAAAUGGUUGGAAAAAUGAAGAGUACAAAAAAUGCUAUGAAAAAUUUUCUAGGACUUGCGGGUAAAAAAGAUGCUUCAUACAACGACUGAGGCAUGCCUUAAAGUGUUAAACUUCCUCCAAUCUUUGAGAUGUCAAAAUUUACGGAGCAAGAUGGGCAUGAGGAAUCCGUGAAACAUUUGGGAUAAUAUUGCAAUCAAUUAAGGGAACCUGGAGGGAAGAAGAAUAAGAAAGAUGCAACUGCUAAUGUAGUUGGAGAACGGGCACAUCCAAGAAGACGACGUCAUCAUUACCGUUAGUCUCAAGCCCGAGUUUAUACCCAAGCUCUCCAUAACCACUCUCAAGAUAUAAUAUACUCUGUUUCCCCACCUCCAUAUCUAGUAUAUUGCGCACAACCAUAUGUUCAACUCCCUCCUUACCCACAAUGGCGCACACCAACUCUUCAAAGUCAUCCUCCAAUUCCACAAACAUACCAAAGACCUUCUAGGCCCGAUGUUCGAUCCAAGUUAAACAAUGAAAUGAGGUAGAAAUUGAGGGAUAGUUUCACACCAAUUGGAGAGUCAUAUGCCAGUUUAUUUCAGAGAUUGGUACAGCGAGGCAUGAUCACUCCUCUCCUUGGGUAUACUCCUGACCCGCAUUUAAGAAGUUAUGAUCCUAAUGUACGAUGUGCAUAUCAUUCUGAUGUUUAGGGUCACAGUAUUGAAUAUUAUCGUGCUUUGAAAAGAGAAAUUAAAAAGAUAAUUCGAGACAAAUUAAUCAUGGUGCAGAACAUUGACAGUGAGGAAAACUCUAGUCAUGCUGAUAGGCAAACCAUUGCCUAAGAUAUCGAGCUGACCAAUUGAGAAGUCACCCCUCUCCCUACUAGGAAAAGGUCUGGUAGUUUAUUUUGUUUUAUUUUCUGUUAUCCGAAUUAUUUUAGGGUUGUAGUUCGGGAUCUAUCUUGUUUUGUCCAUUUGUCGUUAUGUUCAAACCCUUCUAUCUUUUAUUUUAAUUAAAUGAAGUGUCCCUUUUUCCUUUGUGUUUUAAAUAUGUGUUGUUUGUUUGUUUUUUUUAUACAGUACACUUUAGGUUAAUUCUAGUGAUAUGACAUGCUAGCGGAAUUUUUAGCCUGAUCUUAAAAUUCAAUUUAAGCUUGAACAUUGAAUCAGAGAGUUAAAGUUAGAAAAAAAGAGCAUCUGAGAAAAUAGGUAGUGUGCUGAGAUAUUUGGUGACAAGUUCAAGUCUUCUUUGAAAAUUAAGGCAAUUAUUUUGAGAAUCAUAAGAAUAACUUGGUCAUCAAUUGAAAAACAUUGCUCAAUUAGGUCAAAUAGCGGAUGUGUGAUACCGAGGGACAGAAAAAUCAACCCCACGAAAGCAUGAGUAAUUUAAUGUGAGGGAUGUACAACAAAUGUGGAGUUGUAUUUUGACAAGUGUAGAAGAAGAGGGAACACACAUGCUCGGGAAAAUUUAGUGUUGUAAAACAUGUCAUAAGGGAUACUGGUCAUGCACUUUCACAUUGCAUGUUAUGUACUAGCAUCUUCAAAGAUUGAUAUGACGAAGAUAUUUCAUUCUACUAUCCAAGUAUUGUGUCAUCCUUUGUUUACCUCAUUUGAGAUUUAGUUCUAUUUUCUUUCAUAUCCUUCUUUUGGAAUCAAGAUGGAGUCGAAAAGUUCGAAAAAAGUAUCAAGAAAAAAAUGAAGUCAAAAGUCCAAAACAGAAAAUAAGAAAGUAUGUCCAAAAAAAAAGGGAGAGUGUCAAGAAAAAUAAAGACAGAACAGUCCCAAAGAGAAAAAGAGUCAACAAAAGAGAAAAAAGAAAAUAAAAAGAAAAGAAGAAAUCAAAAUCAAGCAAAAAAAUAAGCUUCCAGAAUUACUCGUGACCUGAUUCUCCUCUUUCGGGGGUGAGAUACGUAGGCUGCCCUAUUCCGGGCUUGGUCCAACCAAAUAAACAAUUUGGAAUUACCCAGUCAAAAGAAACUGGGACAUUAGUUAAUCCUCAUUGUUUGAGUCGAUUCCAAAAGUUAUAAGUCCUACCAUACUUCAAGUGCCGUUUGGGCCUCAUGCCAUCCUUUCUUUCUAAUCCUAUCCAAAAGCCAAGUUACAACCAAAGAAAAACCUUCAGAUCAAUCUUUGAGAAUGUUAAGGAUAAGCAUGCAAUGCAAAUGAUAACGCAUUUUGGGAACUAAUUGUCUUCCUCAGCAUAGGGAAUGAAGAAAGAAAUAAAAAUGACAAAGUCUUAUUGAGGAAAACCCUCAUGGGCACCAUAAGGCGAUGGUAAGUUGAGAGAGAAAAAUGAGAGUCUUAUUGGUGAAAACCCUCAUGGGCACCAUAAGACGACUGUGAGUUGAGAGAAAUAAAAAUAAGAGAGUCUCAACGGUGAAAAACCCUCACAGACACCAUAGGGCAAUGGUGAGUUGGAAAAAAGAAAAUGAGAGAGGCUUGUUGGCAAAAACCUUUCAAGGCGCCACUAGACGAAUGAGGUCUUAAACACAAUUGAACUAAGGAAGCAACUCAAUUUUGAGGUUAUUAACUCAACAACAAUUGGUAGAAGGUUUUGGAUGGAAAGAUCAGGCAGUUUAAUCCGAUAUGCAUGGCAUAAUCAUUAGAGUUGACUGUCAUUUCUAGAUAAAUUUUUUAUUUAUUUGUUUCAAACGGGAACAUUCAUUGUCUUUUCUUUCUUCUCUUUAAUUUUAUUUUGUUCUCUUUAAUUUUAUUUUGUUUUCUUGAGUCAGUGGUCCAAAUAAAAGUCAUUGUCAUUUUUCUCUUGUAUUUGAGUCAAGUGCAUAUCAAAAUAAGUGAGAAAAAUUUUCAAAACUGGCUACCAGCUUCUUGAAUUGCACAAAGAAAGACAAAGUCAGCAUAUGAAAGAGACAUGAUUGUGAGCUGAAUAAGGCAUGCAGAAAGUUUUGUCAACAGACAAACUAGGGAACUCAUGAAAAUACCAAGGUUUAAAGGGUUUAUUUGAGAAACAUGACAAAGCAGAGAUACUGUGUUUAUUUUAGAGUCACUCUUAAUAAUCUGGGUUUGGGUCAAUGACACGGUAAAGCACGGGUAAUUACCAGUAAUCUAAAACAAAAUGAAGGGAAUGAACACUGGUACAAGUGUCAAGAAAGCCAAGUUCUGCAAACUACCACUAAGUUUUUAACUGACAAAUUUUCUUUGUUGAAACAGGGGCAAAUUUACUUCACUUAAUUCAACUACCAUUGAAAAUGUACAUCCAUGAAAUUUACUUUAUGUUCAGGACCCUCCUGAAAAAUGGAAUUUUACUUUAUGUUCAGGACCAACCUGGAAAAUGGGAAUUUAAUUUCAACUCAGGACCCUCCUGGAAAAUGGAAAUUUACUUUAUGUUCAGGACNNNNNNNNNNNNNNNNNNNNNNNNNNNNNNNNNNNNNNNNNNNNNNNNNNNNNNNNNNNNNNNNNNNNNNNNNNNNNNNNNNNNNNNNNNNNNNNNNNNNNNNNNNNNNNNNNNNNNNNNNNNNNNNNNNNNNNNNNNNNNNNNNNNNNNNNNNNNNNNNNNNNNNNNNNNNNNNNNNNNNNNNNNNNNNNNNNNNNNNNNNNNNNNNNNNNNNNNNNNNNNNNNNNNNNNNNNNNNNNNNNNNNNNNNNNNNNNNNNNNNNNNNNNNNNNNNNNNNNNNNNNNNNNNNNNNNNNNNNNNNNNNNNNNNNNNNNNNNNNNNNNNNNNNNNNNNNNNNNNNNNNNNNNNNNNNNNNNNNNNNNNNNNNNNNNNNNNNNNNNNNNNNNNNNNNNNNNNNNNNNNNNNNNNNNNNNNNNNNNNNNNNAGAAAUUUACUUUCAACUCAGGACCCUCCUGGAAAAUGGGAAUUUAGUUUAUGUUCAGGCCCUCCUAGAAAAUGAGAAUUUACUUUCAAUUCAGGACCCUCCUGGAAAAUGAGAAUUUACUUUCAACUCAGGACCCUCCUGGAAAAUGGGAAUUUACUUUCAACUCAGGACCCUCCUGAAAAUGGGAAUUUAAUUUAUGUUCAGGACCCUCCUGAAAAAUGAAAAUUUACUUUCAACUCAAGACCCUCCUGAAAAAUGGGAAUUUACUUUCAAUUAGACCUUCCUGGAAAAUGAAAAUUUACUUUAUGAUCAGGACCCUCCUGGUAAAUGGGAAUUUACUUUCAAUUCAGGACCCUCCUGAAAAAUGGGAAUUUACUUUAUGUUCAGGACCCUACUGGAAAAUCGGAAUUUACUUUCAAUUCAGGACCCUCUUGGAAAAUAGGAAUUUACUUUCAACUCAGGACCCUCCUGAAAAAUAUGAAUUUACUUUCAAUUCAGGACCCUCCUGAAAAAUAGGAAUUUACUUUCAAUUCAGGAUCCUCCUGAAAAAUGAGAAUUUACUUUCAAUAUAGGACCCUCUUGGAAAAUGGAAAUUUAGCUUAUGUUCAGGACCCUCCUGGAAAAUGGGAAUUUAUUUUCAACUUAGGACCCUCCUGGAAAAUAGGAAUUUACUUUAUGUUCAGGACCCUCCUGGAAAAUGGGAAUUUACUUUCAAUUCAGGACCCUCCUGAAAAAUGGAAAUUUACUUUCUAUUCAGAACCCUCCUGAAAAAUGGGACUUUAUUUUUAGAAACAUAGAAUCUUUCUUUAUCAUAAAAUUUGUUUAGAAUUAUUUUAUUCUAGUUUGGAUUUUGAUAUCAGGAGGCCUAAAAAUAGGGUGAUGAAAUUGCAAGUCAGGAGCCCGUCUGAAGAAUAGGGUGAUGAAAUUGAAAGUCAAGUAACAAAGUGAAGAAAUUGAAAGCCAAAGCACAGGGCGAAUAAAUGGAAAAUGAAGCAACAAAGUGAAACAAUUGAAAACCAAAAAACAAGUGUUGAAAUUGCAAGUCAGGAGCCCGUCUGAAGAAUAGGGUGAUGAAACUUAAGUCAGGAGUUCAACAGAAGCUGUAUAGAUAGGAUUUUUGUAGUUUCAUUUAUGCCUUAACUUGUAAUUUUUAUUUUCAUGUAAUGACAGAACCGCGGACCGGAACCUCGAUGGAACUUCACUCGACUCUCCAACUCGAUAUAGUCCAUCUCCUUCCAAUUCUUUGAGAUACUUGACACUUGAUUCUCUCAUAACUUGGACAGGUAGGAUGUCCUAAGUCAAGACUUGGUUUUCCUCCUUCCUCUUGCUUCGUGCUUUUGAAUAAAGGUCAAGACAAAAUUUUGUCUCGUUGUCUACUGCUUUGUAUGAAAACACCAUGUGUUUACAUCCAAAGGGGGCAUGAUGUAGACAUGUAAUUUUGUCCUCCUAAAGUUUAAUUUGAUUCACUUUUACCCAUUUUUAUUUUAUCCUACCAUGUACCCUCAUCUACGUGAUUAUACCCCACAUAAAUAUAAAAAAUAACAAACCCAUAACAAUAUUUUAUCUUAUCCUAAUCCCCAAUAUUCUCUUAGUAACAAAAUUAACAACCCUUCCUAUCAAAUAAACACACCUCAUCAUCAAACCCCCUACCCACCUACCCUAUACCCUACCCCCACUACCCCAUCCACGUGACCCAUUCACAUUUCUUCUUCACAAAGAAAUAUGAGAAUAUAUACACUCACUGAUACAGUAAAGAAAAAAAAAGGAGGGUCAAUAAUUUCCAGGGGGUAUCACUCACGAAUUUGGCUUCCCUUCAAAAGAAAAACAAUGAGAAUACAAUACACGGAACACGCACACACCUUAAUCCAUUAGCGCGCACACACCCAUAUAUUCUGAGUCAAAAUUUCAAAAGAGAAAAAUUGAGAGAUUUGAGCGAAAGAGAGAUCGAGAGUUUCGUGAGAGAGAUAGAGAUCGAAAAAGAGGGGGGGUUUAUUCCGGCGACUAGAUCCCGCCGAAGCUCCGACAACGACCCCAAAACUUGGCAAAGUCCCGUGACAAAAAUAGUCUGCUUUCCGUCUAUGAUUUCGGCUAAUUUCAAACGAAAAAUCACUAUUUGUGGCAUUCCUUGUCAUUCACUUAGUGUUAGGUUUUUGUUUCUGUCGAAAACGCUUGGUUUUGGGUCUAGUACACUCGGUUUUUGACAUCAAAAUUAUUCCUUCGAGGUUUUUCUAUUUUGGAUUCAUAGUUCUAUUCACUUCAAUCAAUACGUUGAGAGCAGUAGCGGGUUUCGAUUUGUGAUAUUGAGUUGGAUUUGAGUUUAUGGUUGAGAUUUGAGUCAAGGUUUUUUGGCAUGGAUUUUGUCCUUUCAUUGAAGUACUAUUGAAUUACGAAAGCUUCAAUCGAGGUCUAUUUCUCUAUCUCAUUCUCUAUUCUCGUCUUGAAUUUAAUUACUUUCAUGGGUGUGAAUGAUUCGUGUGCUUGACAUGUUCAAAUAUUUAUUGUACGUAUGUAUUUGGUGUUGGUUUCGAUUUUUGACAAGUCAAUUUGAUAAUUGAAUGCACUUAGAUAUGAAUAAUUGAAUGUUACAUUGUUGAAAUUGGUUAUUCGGGGCGAGAAUCAAAAAUUGAUAAAAAGCAAAUGCUAGUUAUUUUUUUUAUUCUUGAUGUGUUGAGAUGGAUUAGGUGGUAUAGGUUCGGGUAGGCAAAAUUUAGGAGUGAUGUGUUUGUUGAAUACGUUGAAUGUUUAAACGUGUGUGUUAAAUGUCCUGGUUUUAUGGUUUUUGGAUUUAGUGUAUCAUUUGGCCGGGGAAUGCCCCGAGGUAUUUGUGUCUAUUCAUCGGGGAAUGACCUGAAGUAUUUUGUACCCGGAGGACGUUCGUGAUCAAGUCCCAAGGCUUCGGGUUGGAGCUUAGUCUAGCACCAGUAUAGAAUAAGAUUUAUAUUUUUCGCAAUUUUUCUGUUUUGGACUGUAUAAUUGGACUGAACAUUAUUAUUUUGGUUUUGGAUUGUUGUUUGAUGUUUGUUUAUGUGCUUUGUGUGGUUUAUACAUUUUUGGUAUCAAAUUAGCUGAUAUGCUCCACCAAGCGAACGUGGUGAAACCACGGGAUCGAGGGGUGCCUAACAUCUUCCCCUCGAUCACCAGAAUUUCUUAAUCGGAAUCUCUAUUCGCGGAUCAGUUUUAGAGUCAAAACUGUUUCGAAAAGGAUCUUUCAAUGGUGACUUAGCACACCGGAUUAUACCAAGUGACGACCCUAAAUAAAAAUUGUAAAUAGUCCUUUUUGAAACAAAAAUCUUCAUUUUGUCACUUCUAAUAAUAAAAAAACCCUUUCGAACUUAAAAUGAAUCAUUUGAAGUACGAAAAAGGGGUGUGACACUCUUCAUUUUUUAUUAUUAAUGAUAAUAAAUGACAGACGAAUAACGUUGAAAAAUCAAAUGAUAUUUUGGAGGGACUUGUAAAUUUUUUCUGUAAUUUUUAAUUUUAAAUAAAUAAUUCAUGAAAAGUGACAUAUUUGUUACCAUGUGGUG
rnacentral:lncRNA from 1 species